AGUGAACGCUGGCGGCGUGCCUAAUACAUGCAAGUCGAACGGAGAUUAAGUAGCUUGCUAUUUAAUCUUAGUGGCGCACGGGUGAGUAAUAUAUAGCUAACUUGCCCAUUACUAAGGGACAACAGUUGGAAACGACUGCUAAUACCUUAUACUCCGUAUCUAUAUAAGUAGAUACGGGAAAGUUUUUCGGUAAUGGAUAGGGCUAUAUCGUAUCAGCUAGUUGGUAAGGUAAUGGCUUACCAAGGCUAUGACGCGUAACUGGUCUGAGAGGAUGAUCAGUCACACUGGGACUGAGACACGGUCCAGACUCCUACGGGAGGCAGCAGUAGGGAAUAUUGCUCAAUGGGGGAAACCCUGAAGCAGCAACGCCGCGUGGAGGAUGACACUUUUCGGAGCGUAAACUCCUUUUCUUGGGAAAGAAUUAUGACGGUACCCAAGGAAUAAGCACCGGCUAACUCCGUG
rnacentral:rRNA from 1 species